rnacentral:tRNA from 1 species
GUGGAUAUAGCUCGGUGGUAGAGCACAUGCUUAGCAUGCUGGAGGUCCUGGGUUCAAUCCCUAGUACCUCCA